rnacentral:rRNA from 1 species
UUAUGGCUCAGGAUGAACGCUGGCGGCGCGCCUAACACAUGCAAGUCGAACGGUGAAGUCCCUUCGGGGGCGGAUCAGUGGCGGACGGGUGAGUAACGCGUGAGUAACCUGCCCUUACGAGCGGAAUAACGUCCGGAAACAGACGCUAAUACCGCAUGACACGUGCUUCCGGCAUCGGAGGCACGUCAAAGAUUUAUCGCGUAAGGAUGGACUCGCGUCCCAUUAGAUAGUUGGCGGGGCAACGGCCCACCAAGUCAGCGAUGGGUAGCCGGACUGAGAGGUUGAACGGCCACAUUGGAACUGAGAGACGGUCCAGACUCCUACGGGAGGCAGCAGUGGGGAAUAUUGGGCAAUGGGCGAAAGCCUGAACCCCCAGCGACGCCGCGUGAGCGAAGAAGGUCUUCGGAUUGUAAAGCUCUGUUGACAGGGACGAAAAAAUGACGGUACCUGUCGAGGAAGCCACGGCUAACUACGUGCCAGCAGCCGC